AGAGUUUGAUCCUGGCUCAGAUUGAACGCUAGCGGCAUGCUUUACACAUGCAAGUCGAACGGCAGCGCGGGGCAACCUGGCGGCGAGUGGCGAACGGGUGAGUAAUACAUCGGAACGUGCCCUGUGAUGGGGGAUAACUACGCGAAAGCGUAGCUAAUACCGCAUACGACCUACGGGUGAAAGUGGGGGAUCGCAAGACCUCACGUCAUAGGAGCGGCCGAUGGCGGAUUAGCUAGUUGGUGAGGUAAAGGCUUACCAAGGCGACGAUCCGUAGCUGGUCUGAGAGGACGACCAGCCACACUGGGACUGAGACACGGCCCAGACUCCUACGGGAGGCAGCAGUGGGGAAUCUUGGACAAUGGGCGCAAGCCUGAUCCAGCAAUGCCGCGUGUGGGAUGAAGGCCUUCGGGUUGUAAACCACUUUUGGCGGGGAAGAAAUUCCGGGUGCUAAUACCACCCGGUGAUGACGGUACCCGCAGAAUAAGCACCGGCUAACUACGUGCCAGCAGCCGCGGUAAUACGUAGGGUGCGAGCGUUAAUCGGAAUUACUGGGCGUAAAGCGUGCGCAGGCGGUUUGGUAAGACAGAUGUGAAAUUCCCGGGCUUAACCUGGGAACUGCAUUUGUGACUGCCAGGCUAGAGUGCGGCAGAGGGGAGUGGA
rnacentral:rRNA from 1 species